rnacentral:rRNA from 1 species
AUUGAACGCUGGCGGCAGGCUUAACACAUGCAAGUCGAGCGGGGAAGGGUAGCUUGCUACCUGACCUAGCGGCGGACGGGUGAGUAAUGCUUAGGAAUCUGCCUAUUAGUGGGGGACAACAUUCCGAAAGGAAUGCUAAUACCGCAUACGCCCUACGGGGGAAAGCAGGGGAUCUUCGGACCUUGCGCUAAUAGAUGAGCCUAAGUCAGAUUAGCUAGUUGGAGGGGUAAAGGCCUACCAAGGCGACGAUCUGUAGCGGGUCUGAGAGGAUGAUACGCCACACUGGGACUGAGACACGGCGCAGACUCCUACGGGAGGCAGCAGUGGGGAAUAUUGGACAAUGGGCGCAAGCCUGAUCCAGCCAUGCCGCGUGUGUGAAGAAGGCCUUUUGGUUGUAAAGCACUUUAAGCGAGGAGGAGGCUACUGGUAUUAAUACUACCGGAUAGUGGACGUUACUCGCAGAACAAGCACCGGCUAACUCUGUGCCAGCAGCCGCAGUAA